rnacentral:sRNA from 2 species
UGCCUAGCUCUGCCACCGCUCAAGGUCCGUUCGCAUUUCAUCGUCUGGCAGGGGCGGGGGAACCAAUUUUGGCCUUCUUCAUGAAGGCCUUGGGGUUAAGUCGCAAAGCUUCCUUGGAAGCCGCGCGGCCGGGUGACUCCCAUCCGAAUCCGACAGCUCACCUCGCAGGCAUUGGGAGAGGCUAC